rnacentral:rRNA from 1 species
CGGCGAGCGGCGGACGGGUGAGUAAUGCCUGGGAAAUUGCCCUGAUGUGGGGGAUAACCAUUGGAAACGAUGGCUAAUACCGCAUAAUCUCUUCGGAGCAAAGAGGGGGACCUUCGGGCCUCUCGCGUCAGGAUAUGCCCAGGUGGGAUUAGCUAGUUGGUGAGGUAAGGGCUCACCAAGGCGACGAUCCCUAGCUGGUCUGAGAGGAUGAUCAGCCACACUGGAACUGAGACACGGUCCAGACUCCUACGGGAGGCAGCAGUGGGGAAUAUUGCACAAUGGGCGCAAGCCUGAUGCAGCCAUGCCGCGUGUGUGAAGAAGGCCUUCGGGUUGUAAAGCACUUUCAGUAGGGAGGAAGGUGUUGUCGUCAAUAGCGGCAACAUUUGACGUUACCUACAGAAGAAGCACCGGCUAACUCCGUGCCAGCAGCCGCGGUAAUACGGAGGGUGCGAGCGUUAAUCGGAAUUACUGGGCGUAAAGCGCAUGCAGGUGGUGAGUUAAGUCAGAUGUGAAAGCCCGGGGCUCAACCUCGGAGUUGCAUUUGAAACUGGCUGACUAGAGUACUGUAGAGGGGGGUAGAAUUUCAGGUGUAGCGGUGAAAUGCGUAGAGAUCUGAAGGAAUACCGGUGGCGAAGGCGGCCCCCUGGACAGAUACUGACACUCAGAUGCGAAAGCGUGGGGAGCAAACAGGAUUAGAUACCCUGGUAGUCCACGCCGUAAACGAUGUCUACUUGGAGGUUGUGGCCUUGAGCCGUGGCUUUCGGAGCUAACGCGUUAAGUAGACCGCCUGGGGAGUACGGUCGCAAGAUUAAAACUCAAAUGAAUUGACGGGGGCCCGCACAAGCGGUGGAGCAUGUGGUUUAAUUCGAUGCAACGCGAAGAACCUUACCUACUCUUGACAUCCAGAAAAUCCUGCGGAGACGCGGGAGUGCCUUCGGGAAUUCUGAGACAGGUGCUGCAUGGCUGUCGUCAGCUCGUGUUGUGAAAUGUUGGGUUAAGUCCCGCAACGAGCGCAACCCUUAUCCUUGUUUGCCAGCACUUCGGGUGGGAACUCCAGGGAGACUGCCGGUGAUAAACCGGAGGAAGGUGGGGACGACGUCAAGUCAUCAUGGCCCUUACGAGUAGGGCUACACACGUGCUACAAUGGCGCAUACAGAGGGCGGCCAACUUGCAAAAGUGAGCGAAUCCCAAAAAGUGCGUCGUAGUCCGGAUUGGAGUCUGCAACUCGACUCCAUGAAGUCGGAAUCGCUAGUAAUCGUGGAUCAGAAUGCCACGGUGAAUACGUUCCCGGGCCUUGUACACACCGCCCGUCACACCAUGGGAGUGGGCUGC